rnacentral:rRNA from 1 species
AGAGUUUGAUCCUGGCUCAGAUUGAACGCUGGCGGCAUGCCUUACACAUGCAAGUCGAACGGGCUUUGGGGCUUGCUCCAAAGUUAGUGGCGAACGGGUGAGUAAUAUAUCGGAACGUACCCUUGAGUGGGGGAUAACAUAGCGAAAGUUAUGCUAAUACCGCAUACGAUCUAAGGAUGAAAGUGGGGGACCGCAAGGCC